rnacentral:rRNA from 1 species
GAGUUUGAUCCUGGCUCAGGAUGAACGCUAGCGACAGGCUUAACACAUGCAAGUCGAGGGGCAGCACGGGUAGCAAUACCGGGUGGCGACCGGCGCACGGGUGAGUAACGCGUAUGCAACUUACCUAUCAGAGGGGGAUAACCCGGCGAAAGUCGGACUAAUACCGCAUGAAGCAGGGGCCCCGCAUGGGGAUAUUUGCUAAAGAUUCAUCGCUGAUAGAUAGGCAUGCGUUCCAUUAGGCAGUUGGCGGGGUAACGGCCCACCAAACCGACGAUGGAUAGGGGUUCUGAGAGGAAGGUCCCCCACAUUGGUACUGAGACACGGACCAAACUCCUACGGGAGGCAGCAGUGAGGAAUAUUGGUCAAUGGGCGUAAGCCUGAACCAGCCAAGUCGCGUGAGGGAUGAAGGUUCUAUGGAUCGUAAACCUCUUUUAUAAGGGAAUAAAGUGCGGGACGUGUCCCGUUUUGUAUGUACCUUAUGAAUAAGGAUCGGCUAACUCCGUGCCAGCAGCCGCGGUAAUACGGAGGAUCCGAGCGUUAUCCGGAUUUAUUGGGUUUAAAGGGUGCGUAGGCGGCCUUUUAAGUCAGCGGUGAAAGUCUGUGGCUCAACCAUAGAAUUGCCGUUGAAACUGGGAGGCUUGAGUAUGUUUGAGGCAGGCGGAAUGCGUGGGGUAGCGGUGAAAUGCUUAGAUAUCACGCAGAACCCCGAUUGCGAAGGCAGCCUGCCAAGCCAUGACUGACGCUGAUGCACGAAAGCGUGGGGAUCAAACAGGAUUAGAUACCCUGGUAGUCCACGCAGUAAACGAUGAUCACUAGCUGUUUGCGAUACACUGUAAGCGGCACAGCGAAAGCGUUAAGUGAUCCACCUGGGGAGUACGCCGGCAACGGUGAAACUCAAAGGAAUUGACGGGGGCCCGCACAAGCGGAGGAACAUGUGGUUUAAUUCGAUGAUACGCGAGGAACCUUACCCGGGUUUGAACGCAUUUCGACCGCUCUGGAAACAGAGCCUCUAGCAAUAGCGAUUUGCGAGGUGCUGCAUGGUUGUCGUCAGCUCGUGCCGUGAGGUGUCGGCUUAAGUGCCAUAACGAGCGCAACCCUUGCCACUAGUUACUAACAGGUAAAGCUGAGGACUCUGGUGGGACUGCCAGCGUAAGCUGCGAGGAAGGCGGGGAUGACGUCAAAUCAGCACGGCCCUUACAUCCGGGGCGACACACGUGUUACAAUGGCGUGGACAAAGGGAAGCCACCUGGCGACAGGGAGCGAAUCCCCAAACCACGUCUCAGUUCGGAUCGGAGUCUGCAACCCGACUCCGUGAAGCUGGAUUCGCUAGUAAUCGCGCAUCAGCCAUGGCGCGGUGAAUACGUUCCCGGGCCUUGUACACACCGCCCGUCAAGCCAUGGGAGCCGGGGGUACCUGAAGUCCGUAACCGCGAGGAUCGGCCUAGGGUAAAACUGGUGACUGGGGCUAAGUCGUAACAAGGUAGCCGUACCGGAAGGUGCGGCUGGAACACC